rnacentral:rRNA from 1 species
UCGAGAAUCUUCCACAAUGGACGAAAGUCUGAUGGAGCGACACCGCGUGACUGAUGAAGUCUUUCGGGAUGUAAAGGUCUUUUAUGAGGGAUGACAUAGCGACAGUACCUCAUGAAUAAGGGGCUGCUAAUCACGUGCCAGCAGCAGCGGUAAUACGUGAGCCCCAAGCGUUAUCCGGAAUUAUUGGGCGUAAAGAGUGCGUAGGUGGUCGUGUUAGUCCUUUGUUUAAUCCAUCGGCUCAACCGGUGAACUGCAGAGGAAACGGCACGACUGGAGUGUGUGAGAGGUGAGCGGAACUCAUGGUGUAGGGGUGAAAUCCGUUGAUAUCAUGGGGAACACCAAAUGCGAAGGCAGCUCACUGGCACAUCACUGACACUGAGGCACGAAAGCGUGGGUAGCGAAUGGGAUUAGAUACCCCCGUAGUCC